rnacentral:rRNA from 1 species
GAUGAACGCUGGCGGCGUGCCUAAUACAUGCAAGUCGAGCGAACAGACGAGGAGCUUGCUCCUCUGACGUUAGCGGCGGACGGGUGAGUAACACGUGGAUAACCUACCUAUAAGACUGGGAUAACUUCGGGAAACCGGAGCUAAUACCGGAUAACAUGUUGAACCGCAUGGUUCAACAGUGAAAGACGGUCUUGCUGUCACUUAUAGAUGGAUCCGCGCCGCAUUAGCUAGUUGGUAAGGUAACGGCUUACCAAGGCAACGAUGCGUAGCCGACCUGAGAGGGUGAUCGGCCAGACUGGAACUGAGACACGGUCCAGACUCCUACGGGAGGCAGCAGUAGGGAAUCUUCCGCAAUGGGCGAAAGCCUGACGGAGCAACGCCGCGUGAGUGAAGAAGGUCUUCGGAUCGUAAAACUCUGUUAUUAGGGAAGAACAAAUGUGUAAGUAACUAUGCACGUCUUGACGGUACCUAAUCAGAAAGCCACGGCUAACUACGUG